rnacentral:lncRNA from 1 species
GUGUUCGGAACUGUAUUGCGGCUCUUGUGGCGCCUGUGUGUCACUGGGUCGUGCACGCUCCAGCCUGACUUGGCCAGUUCAGACCAUCACAGAGCCGCUCACUGAGCUGCAUCUGUUCUGUGCACAGCUCAGCCUCACACAGCCGCUCUCUAACUCACUUCACUCCAAAUGUUCUCUCUGCAAACCAGGAGAUGUUGGACAUCUUAAAAGGGUUUUUUGGGGGGAGAUUCCGCAUCUUUCAUGACUCUUCAUUGGGUGAACUGAGCAGGCUUUAAAGAGGAGGAUCUUGGCUCCCGCAGCCAUCCCGCCUGCAGGGCUGAACUCUUUGGCUGGCGUGUCACUUCCUCUGCAGAGGGGCUGCUGGCAGACGCCACAUCUACACCGGUACAAACACAGGCGCUCUCCGAUGACUGUUGUAGCACCAGCAGUCGUAAAUGUAGCAGCAGCGACUCUCAGUCCUGCUCUGGUUCAUAUUUCUGAGCAGGAAGAGGUUAAAUAUUCCCUCUGUGGAGGCAGAAAACACCGUUGACCUGCCAGGUCAUGAAGCCACAGGAGGCCGAGCUCGUGGGGGAAAUCGCCAAGUUGCAGUACAUGGUCUCAGAGCUGAAGAGGGGCUUCACCAGCGCCCUGCUGGAGCUCAGUCACAUCCAGCAUGGAGACACACACCUGAGGGAGGAGCUGGAGGAGAACCGCAGGAGCUGCCAGAAGAAAGCUGCUCGCCUGGAGCUGUUGGUGGACUCUCUGAGGGAGGAGCUUGGAGUGCUGCAGACUCAGAUCUUCCAGCUGGACAGUAAGAGACAGAGAGCUCUGCAGGACGGAGACACCUCCAAACACAGAGAGAGCAACCCAGCAGAUGCGCCGCCGUCCUGUGGGUCCAGAGGGAAGCUGCUUCUCCACUGUUUCCUGCAGGGCCUGAAAGCGGGACUGAGUGAAGGCACAGAUGCUCGACAUCAGGUGGCCAUGCAGCUGCUGCACGCGGAGUGGGAGUACGUGUCCACGCUCAAUCAGCUGCUUGACAAGUACAAAACACCUGCAGCUCAGCAGGGGGCCCUGGAGCCGCAUCAGACGCUGGUGAAGUUUGUGGAGGAGCUGCUGCAGCGACAUCUGCCGUUCAGGAACUCGCUGCAGGAGCGACUCUCUGCUGCACACUGGAAAUCUCUGGUGGGAGACAUCCUGGUGCAACUCAUCGGACAAAACGAUACUGUCUUCUCUGACACAUAUGUUGGAUACACAACCACGCUGGCAUCCUUCCUCUGCCUGGAGUUUAACAGAUUAAACCAUCCAGACAGCAACAGCGACAAAGUCCAGGAGGACAGAGAGGAGAUGAAUUUGCUGUCGCUGCUGCUGGCGCCUGUGUCUCGAAUUCACGCCUACCUGAGCCACGUCCAGAGUUUGUUACAGUGGACGGGCAAAGAACAUCCUGACUGCAGCCUCCUGCUGGGAGCCGAGCGAGCGCUGAGGAAUGUUCUAUCCCGCUGUCACGCCAUCCUGGAGGAGGAUGUGAGGUGGGAGGAAGCAGAAGGUGCAGGGCAAAGCUGUUCUGAGGCUGCUGGAUCUUCUGCCAGCUGUUGCGGGAGGAACCAUGAGAAGAGAGAGUCCCCGCAGGAAGCUGCAGCGCUCAGAAACGAUCCGCCGGUGGCCGACCUUACCAACGGCUGCCAGUCCAUGCGUCUGGAGUGUUGGUCCUGCAGCCCCGUCAGGCGGAAGGGCUGCGGGCGGGACAGGAGCGUCCAGAACCGGCCGGGUCGAGACUGUUGCCGCGCCUGCUGCUCCCUCCUCAUGCCCGACGCUGCUGGGUGGGGGGAGAACAGCGACUCGGGCCAGGGAACCUUCAGCCAGCACACUGGGAAAGGCACCAUUGGCCCGGAGGCCACCGGCGCCACCUGCAGCCCAGAGGAUGUCGAGACGGACCUGGAUGACACCUCGGCCUUUGGGGACUCCUCUGUGACCUCCUGCAGCCCUGAUGGGACCCUGUGCAGGGAGGAGGUGAUUAGUGGGCAGGAGGAGGAGGAGGAGGAGGAAGAGGACAGCCAGGUCCCGGUUCUGUUGAGACCUUCCUACAGUCAGCAGAGGGAGGGGUCCAGAGAGAGGAGCGUGUGUCUCAGAUGGCAGAUUCCAAGAGUGACCCCCCACCCGCCCCUGAGAAACGCAGCAGGGCCCCCGUGCACUACCGCGGCCACGCCCUGUCUGGUCAGCUCCCGCGGAAAGAGGCUGGUCAGCAUCCGGACCGGCUCGCCUCCGCUGCACCCAAAAAGCGCCUUCAGGCCCAUCUGGGACGACCCCUCCAGACAGGACGAUUCGGCUCCAGAGAAGGACGUCAGGAAAGGUUUCGUCCCAGUUCAGGCUGCCGCCCGGCAGAGUCUCGGCCUGGGCAGAGACAAUCUGAGGCCGAGUUUACGGCGAGCCCACGCAGCGGCGGUGAGCGGCCCUGGAUUGUGGGAGGACAGCGAGGACAGCGAGGGGCCAUGCAGCACCGUGUGA